rnacentral:rRNA from 1 species
AUUGAACGCUGGCGGCAGGCCUAACACAUGCAAGUCGAGCGGAUGAAGGGAGCUUGCUCCUGGAUUCAGCGGCGGACGGGUGAGUAAUGCCUAGGAAUCUGCCUGGUAGUGGGGGAUAACGUCCGGAAACGGGCGCUAAUACCGCAUACGUCCUGAGGGAGAAAGUGGGGGAUCUUCGGACCUCACGCUAUCAGAUGAGCCUAGGUCGGAUUAGCUAGUUGGUGGGGUAAAGGCCUACCAAGGCGACGAUCCGUAACUGGUCUGAGAGGAUGAUCAGUCACACUGGAACUGAGACACGGUCCAGACUCCUACGGGAGGCAGCAGUGGGGAAUAUUGGACAAUGGGCGAAAGCCUGAUCCAACCAUGCCGCGUGUGUGAAGAAGGUCUUCGGAUUGUAAAGCACUUUAAGUUGGGAGGAAGGGCAGUAAGUUAAUACCUUGCUGUUUUGACGUUACCAACAGAAUAAGCACCGGCUAACUUCGCG